AUAUUCUUUCGGGGCAGGGUGAAAUUCCCAACCGGCGGUAUAAUAGCCCGCGACCCAUAAGUGAAUUUUCAUUUAUGGCUGAUUCAGUAACAUUCUGAAGCCGACAGUAUAGUCUGGAUGGGAGAAAGAAUAG
rnacentral:ncRNA from 2 species